rnacentral:tRNA from 1 species
GGAGUUGUGGCUCAACGGUAGAGCGCUUGCCUAGCUCGUGCAAGGCCCUGGGUUCGAUCCUCAGCACCA